GUCUGUGGCCAUACCACCCUGAACAUGCCUAAUCUCAGAAGCUAAACAGGGUCAGGCCUGGCUAGCACUUGGAUGGGAGAAUGUAUAUUCUUGCAGUUUGGGGUAGAAAGUUCUGUAAAUG
ensembl:rRNA 5S_rRNA 5S ribosomal RNA